GUCCCAGUUCGGACUGCAGUCUGCAACCCGACUGCACGAAGCCGGAAUCGCUAGUAAUCGCGGAUCAGAAUGCCGCGGUGAAUACGUUCCCGGGUCUUGUACACACCGCCCGUCACACCAUGGGAGCUGGAAAUGCCCGAAGUCGGUGACCCAACCUUCGGGAGGGAGCCGCCGAAGGCAGGUCCGGUAACUGGGGUGAAGUCGUAACAAGGUAUC
rnacentral:rRNA from 1 species